CCCUUAGACGUUCUGGGCCGCACGCGCGCUACACUGACGAAGGCAACGAGCUUUCCUUUACCGAAAGGUACGGGUAAUCUUUUGAAACUUCGUCGUGCUGGGGAUAGAUCCUUGCAAUUAUUGAUCUUAAACGAGGAAUUCCUAGUAAGCGCAAGUCAUCAACUUGCGUUGAUUACGUCCCUGCCCUUUGUACACACCGCCCGUCGCUACUACCGAUUGAAUGGUUUAGUGAGGCCUUCGGAUCCGCGACUCGUUUUGUGGAGGAGUUGGACAAACUCAGUCAUUUAGAGGGAGAAAAAGUCGUAACA
rnacentral:rRNA from 1 species